UGGGGAAUUUUGGACAAUGGGCGCAAGCCUGAUCCAGCCAUGCCGCGUGAGUGAAGAAGGCCUUCGGGUUGUAAAGCUCUUUUGGCGGGGAAGAAACAGCACGGGCUAAUAUCCCGUGUGAAUGACGGUACCCGCAGAAUAAGCACCGGCUAACUACGUGCCAGCAGCCGCGGUAAUACGUAGGGUGCAAGCGUUAAUCGGAAUUACUGGGCGUAAAGCGUGCGCAGGCGGAUGCUUAAGCCAGAUGUGAAAUCCCCGGGCUUAACCUGGGAACUGCAUUUGGAACUGGGCGUCUAGAGUACAGCAGAGGGAGGCGGAAUUCCACGUGUAGCAGUGAAAUGCGUAGAGAUGUGGAGGAACACCGAUGGCGAAGGCAGCCUCCUGGGUUGAUACUGACGCU
rnacentral:rRNA from 1 species